rnacentral:rRNA from 1 species
GACGAACGCUUGCGGCGUGCUUAACACAUUCAAGUCGAACGGACAGGCCCUGCUUUUGUUGGUUGCUCGAUUGGCGAACGCGUGAGUAUCACGUGUGUAACCUCCCCUUGUCUUUGUGAUAACUUCUCUAUACUCGGGCUAAUACCGGUUAUGAUCUCCUGCUUCAUGGUGGUGGUUGGACAGUUUCGGCUUUUGUGGCUAGGCUCGCUGCUUAUCAGCUUUUUGGUGAGGUAGUGGCUUACCAUGGCUUUGACGGUUAGCCGGCAUGGGAGGGUGGACGGGCACAAGGGGACUACGAUACGGCCCAGACUCCAACGGGAGGCAGCAGGGGGGAAUAUUGCAGAAUGGGCGGAAGCCUGAUGCAGAAACGCCGCGUGCGGGAUGAAGGACUUCGGGUGGUAAACAGAUUUCGACGGUGACGAAGAGUGAGUGACGGUAAUGGGUAAAGAAGCAACGGCUAACUACGUG